rnacentral:rRNA from 1 species
AUGUAUUGGUGGGCAUGGUGGCAACUAUGCUUCCCUAAGAAGGAUGCUGGAAUGGGGUUUCAUGAUCUUCUUUCCUUCAAUUUGGCCAUGUUAACUAAACAAGUUUUGGUGCUCCUGGAUGAGCCAGAAUCAUUAUGUGCUAGGAUCCUCAGAGCUAAACACUACCCCUCAGGUGAUCUCCUUUCGGCUGGACCCAAGAUGGGGUCUUCCUUUACAUGGCAAAGUAUCAUUGCGGGCAUUUAG